UUACAACGAUGCUACGAGCUUGUCGCACUGCGCCGGCGCGAAGGACAGCAGGUCCCUGUCGAGGUCGUAGACGACGUGCGUGUUCUGCUGCUGGUAGUUGCCGAUGACGGUCUGCUCCCCGGCCGCCGCGUCGAGCACCAGGCACAUGACCCGCGCGCCGUGGUCCUCGAACACGUAGUUGCCGCGCGGCAGCUCCCAGUCGGCGCCGUCCAGGUGGAGCGUCAGCGACGGCACGGCCACGGCCCGCCGCCUCCAGAACGGCGCCGUCGCCGGCAGCGCGAAGCAGAGGUCCAGCGCCGCGCCGGCCUCCGCGCCGAUCACCGGCAGCCCGACCUGCGCCACGAACUCCGCCUUCACCGCCUCGUACACGUCCUCCGGCAGCGUCGUGAUCGACGCGCCCGAGUCGAUGAUCGUCGACCGGAGCCGCCGCUCCGGCACCGGCAGCCGCUUCGAGCCGACGCUGAUGCCCUUCAGCGAGAGGAAGUAGAGCGACGGCUGCGAGGGGUCCUUGAUCAGCGGGGUGGACUGGAAGACGGUGCCGCUCUUGAGCUCGGCCGCCGCGCCGAGCGUCACGCGGCUGCUCUUGGACUCGAACAUGGACGUGAAGCAGUAGGAGAAGCUGGUGACGCCGAGCUGCGACGGCAGCGACCACCGCCCCCGCCCGAAGCCGGCAAUGCCGGUCUCGUUCGCCUGGAAGAUGCCCUUGUUGAAGUGGCCGCAGCCGAACGUCAGCCGCCGCUCGGCAUUGCCGAAGGUGAAGCGGUCGGCGGCGAGCUGGCCGACGGUGAGCGACUUGUCGCCGUAGUGGUAGACGUAGACGCAGCUCCGUUCACCCCAGCUCCCUCCGCCACCGCCGCACGACGUGAACGGGAGCGCGCGGCACAGCGGCGCGUCGCAGGGGAGCGCGGCGUAGGUGGAGGACCGGGCGGGGUCCAGGAGCGGCAUCCCCUGAUCAAAGCAGUCGAGGCAGGGCGCGCACUGCGUCCAGACGAGGUCGCUGCCGGUGUCGAGCGUGAGCGCCACGGGCCGCGGCGGCGUGCCCACGGACAGGUGCACCAGGUACUCGUUCGUCACGAUGCUGCCGCCGCCGCCGGCGCCGAGGCCGGCGCGCACCGGCCGACCCGCCCCCGUCUCCUGCGACGACAGCAGCCGCCGCCGCCGCGCCCUGGACCGGUGCGCCAUCCGCCGCACGAGCUCGGGCCUCGCGAGCCCGAGGCCGGCGUCGGCGUGCGUCAGCAGCGCCGCGAUCCCGGCGCCCGGAGCGGACGCGGCGAACGCCGGCAGCGCGAGCAGGACCAGCAGCGCGGCCACGAGCUGCUGCUUCAU
rnacentral:rRNA from 1 species